AUAAGGGCAGGUGGUGGAUGCCUUGGCACAGUAAGGCGAUGAAGGACGUGGCGUAGCUGCGAUAAGCUUCGGGGAGGUGUGUAGCAACCGACGAUCCGGAGAUCUCCGAAUGGGGAAACCUAAUGCGGUGUUAAAUCGCAUUGUCUAAUACUUUAGUAUUAGAUGCAUACCUGGGGAAGUGAAACAUCUCAGUACCCAGAGGAAAAGAAAACAAAAUUUCAGUUUUUUACUUUCCUAAUUUAACGAACUGAUCAGAAGGAAAGUUAAAAACUGAUGUGAUUCCCUUAGUAGUGGCGAGCGAAAAGGGAAAAGUCUAAACCAAUAGUUUUAGUUUUACUAAAACUAUUGGGGUAAUAAGAAAAGAACCGGAGUUUGACUCGAAGAUAAAAAAAUAAUUAGUUGAAAGACCUGAAAAGGUCUGCCAAAGAAGGUGAAAGCCCUGUAAACAAAAAUUAUUUUUAAUCUUCUGUUCUUUUCUUGAGUACCUCGAUGCCAGAAAACAUUGGGGGAAAUUUCCGGCACUACUCCGGAAAGACUAAAUACUUACUGUGACCGAUAGUGAACUAGUACCGUGAGGGAAAGGUGAAAAGAACCCCGGUGAGGGGAGUGAAAUAGAACCUGAAACCACUUUGCCUACAAGGAAUCGGAGGGGUAACCUAUAAUGGUUUACCCUGACGGUGUGCCUAUUGAAGAAUGAGCCGGCGAGUUUAUAUCCGCUGUUUGACUAAUUCGCUAAAAGCGAAAUAAUCAAAGGGAAACCGAGUAUGAUAAGUGCUCUCUUUUCUAUUUAUCUUUGGCUGUAAAGCCAAAGAUAAAUAGAAAGAAUAGUGGAUAUAAGACCCGAAGCCAGGCGAGCUUGCCAUGGCCAGGAUGAACCCCGCAGAAAUGCGGGAGGAGGUCCGAACCCGUGAGUUGUGCAACACUCUGGGAUGAGCUGUGGUAAGAAGUGAAAAGCUAAUCGAGCCUGGGAAUAGCUGGUUCUCCCCGAAAUAGCUUUAGGGCUAGCGGUCUAUUUAUCCUAAUGGGGGUAGAGCUCUGGAUGGUGUGUAGAGGGCGAAAGCUCAGCUCACCAACCAAACUGCGAAUACCAUUAGAUUAUGAUAGGCUAGUCAGACUGUGGGGGCGAAGCUCCAUGGUCGAGAGGGUAUGAACCCUGAUCGCCGUCUAAGGUCCCUAAAUUUCAGUUAAGUGCAAAGCAAGGUAGUAAUUUCUCUUAGACAACUAGGAGGUUGGCUCAGAGGUAGCCAUCCUUUAAAGAGUGUGUAACAACUCACUAUUCGAACCUGUUUAUCAGGGAGAGAGAUUGCGCCGAAAAUUUAUCGGGGCUUAAACUGAAUACCGAAGAUGCGAUCUAAUAUCACUUUAAAGUGAUAUUAGAGGUAGGGGAGCGUUUCCUAAGCGCUGAAGUCUAAGGCGUGAGCCGGGAUGGAGCUUAGGGAAGUGAGAAUGCCGGCAUGAGUAACCACAAUCCACCUGAGAACGGUGGACUCCGUAAGCCCAAGGUUUCCUUGGCAAUGGAAAUCAGCCAAGGGUUAGGCGGUCCUAAGGUGAUGGCGAAAGCCGCAGCUGAUGGACAGCCGGUUAAUAUUCCGGCCCUUCCUUUUUCUUUUUUUCGAUGGGGGGACGAAAGAGAGUAGAUUGAAUGCUUUAGUGGUUUAGCAUCCUUGAUCGAGGAUGAAGUUUAGGUAAAUCCGAACUUCUGUCUUUAAUGACAAAUCCCAGAAAAAAGGCGAGACGAGGAGUUAUCCUUGUCAAGUUGAUCGAGCCUCUUUCCGAGAAAAACCUCUAAGAUAUGAGAAAAAGGAAUCCGUACCAAAACCGACACCGGUGGGCGAGGCGAGUAGCCUCAGGAGAACGAGUGAUUCCUCCUUAAGGAACUCGGCAAAAAAGCGGGCGUAACUUUGGGAUAUGCCCUCCCUGGACCAGGCGCGCAAGCGCUUCGGUGCAGGGCGCAGUGAAAGUUUCCCUGGCGACUGUUUACCAAAAACACAGGUCCCUGCGAACCCGUAAGGGGAUGUAUAGGGGCUGAGGCCUGUCCGAUGCCAGAAGGUUAAGACUGGCGGUUAAAUUUUCCUUUUAGGAAGAUUUAGCUGACUAGUUCAAGCCCUGGUCAAUGACAGCCGUAACUAUAACGGUUCUAAGGUAGCGCAAUUCCUUGUCGGGUAAGUUCCGACGCGCAUGAAAGGUAUAACGACUGGGGAACUGUCUCAAGGAGGAGCUCGGUGAAAAUGCGUUUCCAGCGAAGACGCUGGGUACCCGCAGCUAGACGAGAAGACCCUAGGAGCUUUACUGCAGUCUGGCAUUGAAUUUAAUUUCAAAAUGCGUAGCGUAGUGGGGAGACUAUGAAGUUCCAGUUUCGGCUGGAAUGGAGUCGCCAAUGAAACACCCAUCUUUUUGGGAUUAAAUUCUAACCUCUUGUAAACAAGAUGAGACAGUGCUUGACAGGCAGUUUUCGUGGGGCGCGAUCCUCCUAAAAAGUAACGGAGGAGUCUAUUAAGGUUGGCUAUCCGCCAAUGGAAACGGCGGAGGUAGUGUAAAGGCAAAAGCCAGCUUUAUAGCAAGGGAGACAUCCCGCGCUAUUGCGAAAGCAGAGCUUAGUGACCCGACGGAUCGUUGUAGAAGGUCCGGAGACACCGGACAAAAGUUACCCUAGGGAUAACAGGCUGGUGGAGCCCGAAAGUUCACAUCGACGGCUCCGCUCGGCACCUUAACACAUUGGGGUGCUAUGGCAGUAAUGCCAUACCAACACCUUCGAUAAGAUUAGGAUUAUUCUAAGUGAAAUCGAAGGGCAAAAAUUCGGCUUAUAACGGUGGAAUCCAUUGUGAUUUCAAUAAAAUUUUUAUGGACAAUACCGUGGGAAGUUUAACACAAUUACAAAAAUCAGUAAUUAUUGGAACUCUUUUAGGUGAUGGUUAUUUAAGAGUUAUUCCCGGAAGAAAAAAUGCUAUCUUGGAAAUAAAUCAUAGUUUUAAAGCUAAAGAUUAUGUAGACUGGAAAUAUUUCGUAUUAAAGAAUGUUACUAGAUCGUCACCAAAAAUCAGAAAAAAUAAUAAA
rnacentral:rRNA from 1 species